rnacentral:hammerhead_ribozyme from 1 species
AUCCGUUUGAAGAGCCCCAAAUAGGACGAAACGCGCAUCGUGGAU